GACGAACGCUGGUGGCGUGCUUAACACAUGCAAGUCGAACGGGAUUUAGUAAACAGAAGCCUCGGUGGAAGAUUACUAAUGAGAGUGGCGAACGGGUGAGUAACGCGUGAGCAACCUGCCUAUUACAGUGGGAUAGCCUCGGGAAACCGGGAUUAAUACCGCAUAAAAUCGUAGAAACACAUGUUUUAACGGUCAAAGAUUUAUCGGUCAUAGAUGGGCUCGCGUCUGAUUAGCUAGUUGGUGAGAUAACAGCCCACCAAGGCGACGAUCAGUAGCCGGUCUGAGAGGAUGAACGGCCACAUUGGAACUGAGACACGGUCCAAACUCCUACGGGAGGCAGCAGUGGGGAAUAUUGCACAAUGGGGGAAACCCUGAUGCAGCGACGCCGCGUGAACGAAGAAGGUAUUCGUAUCGUAAAGUUCUGUCCUAUGGGAAGAUAAUGACAGUACCAUAGAAGAAAGCUCCGGCUAAAUACGUG
rnacentral:rRNA from 1 species